CCCAGACACCCUAUGGGCGAAUGAAUUCCCGGCCGCUUAUCGCCCUUAGAGUUUGAUCCUGGCUCCGGACGAACUCUGGCGGCGCGCCUAACACAUGCAAGUCGAACGAGCGAGAGAGAGCUUGCUUUCUCAAGCGAGUGGCGAACGGGUGAGUAACGCGUGAGGAACCUGCCUCAAAGAGGGGGACAACAGUUGGAAACGACUGCUAAUACCGCAUAAGCCCACAGCUCGGCAUCGAGCAGAGGGAAAAGGAGCAAUCCGCUUUGAGAUGGCCUCGCGUCCGAUUAGCUGGUUGGUGAGGUAAUGGCCCACCAAGGCGACGAUCGGUAGCCGGACUGAGAGGUUGAACGGCCACAUUGGGACUGAGACACGGCCCAGACUCCUACGGGAGGCAGCAGUGGGGAAUAUUGCACAAUGGGGGGAACCCUGAUGCAGCGACGCCGCGUGGAGGAAGAAGGUCUUCGGAUUGUAAACUCCUGUUGUUGAGGAAGAUAAUGACGGUACUCAACAAGGAAGUGACGGCUAACUACGUGCCAGCAGCCGCGGUAAAGCGUAGGUCACAAGCGUUGUCCGGAAUUACUGGGUGUAAAGGGAGCGCAGGCGGGAAGACAAGUUGGAAGUGAAAUCUAUGGGCUCAACCCAUAAACUGCUUUCAAAACUGUUUUUCUUGAGUAGUGCAGAGGUAGGCGGAAUUCCCGGUGUAGCGGUGGAAUGCGUAGAUAUCGGGAGGAACACCAGUGGCGAAGGCGGCCUACUGGGCACCAACUGACGCUGAGGCUCGAAAGUGUGGGUAGCANACAGGAUUAGAUACCCUGGUAGUCCACACCGUAAACGAUGAUUACUAGGUGUUGGAGGAUUGACCCCUUCAGUGCCGCAGUUAACACAAUAAGUAAUCCACCUGGGGAGUACGACCGCAAGGUUGAAACUCAAAGGAAUUGACGGGGGCCCGCACAAGCAGUGGAGUAUGUGGUUUAAUUCGACGCAACGCGAAGAACCUUACCAAGUCUUGACAUCCCUUGACGAUGCUGGAAACAGUAUUUCUCUUCGGAGCAAGGAGACAGGUGGUGCAUGGUUGUCGUCAGCUCGUGUCGUGAGAUGUUGGGUUAAGUCCCGCAACGAGCGCAACCCUUACUGUCAGUUACUACGCAAGAGGACUCUGGCAGGACUGCCGUUGACAAAACGGAGGAAGGUGGGGAUGACGUCAAAUCAUCAUGCCCUUUAUGACUUGGGCUACACACGUACUACAAUGGCGUUAAACAAAGAGAAGCAAGACCGCGAGGUGGAGCAAAACUCAGAAACAACGUCCCAGUUCGGACUGCAGGCUGCAACUCGCCUGCACGAAGUCGGAAUUGCUAGUAAUCGUGGAUCAGCAUGCCACGGUGAAUACGUUCNCCGGGCCAAGUACACACGGCCCGUC
rnacentral:rRNA from 1 species